rnacentral:rRNA from 1 species
GAUGAACGCUGGCGGCGUGCCUAACACAUGCAAGUCGAGCGAUCUUCUUCGGAAGAGAGCGGCGGACGGGUGAGUAACGCGUGGGUAACCUGCCCUGUACACACGGAUAACAUACCGAAAGGUAUGCUAAUACGGGAUAACAUAAGAGAGUCGCAUGGCUAUCUUAUCAAAGCUUUUGCGGUACAGGAUGGACCCGCGUCUGAUUAGCUAGUUGGUAAGGUAACGGCUUACCAAGGCGACGAUUAGUAGCCGACCUGAGAGGGUGAUCGGCCACAUUGGAACUGAGACACGGUCCAAACUCCUACGGGAGGCAGCAGUGGGGAAUAUUGCACAAUGGGCGAAAGCCUGAUGCAGCAACGCCGCGUGAGCGAUGAAGGCCUUCGGGUCGUAAAGCUCUGUCCUCAAGGAAGAUAAUGACGGUACUUGAGGAGGAAGCCCCGGCUAACUACGUGCCAGCAGCCGCGGUAAUACGUAGGGGGCUAGCGUUAUCCGGAAUUACUGGGCGUAAAGGGUGCGUAGGCGGUCUUUCAAGUCAGAAGUGAAAGGCUACGGCUCAACCGUAGUAAGCUUUUGAAACUGUAAGACUUGAGUGCAGGAGAGGAGAGUGGAAUUCCUAGUGUAGCGGUGAAAUGCGUAGAUAUUAGGAGGAACACCAGUUGCGAAGGCGGCUCUCUGGACUGUAA